GUGGCUGGCGGCUGGGUGCCUUCUACUGGUGCUGUGCAGAGGCUUUCCCUAAGGUUGCUGUGAGCCUGUAGGGUUUCCCCUAGGCUACUAAGCUGG
rnacentral:pre_miRNA from 1 species